UGGGGAAUUUUGGACAAUGGGCGCAAGCCUGAUCCAGCCAUGCCGCGUGCGUGAAGAAGGUCUUCGGAUUGUAAAGCACUUUCAAUGGGGAGGAAUAGCGGUUAGUUAAUACCUGAUCGUGUGACAUUACCCAUACAAGAAGCACCGGCUAACUCCGUGCCAGCAGCCGCGGUAAUACGAAGGGUGCAAGCGUUAAUCGGAAUUACUGGGCGUAAAGCGUGCGUAGGUGGCUCGUUAAGUCAGAUGUGAAAUCCCCGGGCUCAACCUGGGAACUGCAUCCAAAACUGGCGAGCUAGAGUAUGGUAGAGGGUGGUGGAAUUUCCUGUGUAGCGGUGAAAUGCGUAGAUAUAGGAAGGAACACCAGUGGCGAAGGCGACCACCUGGACUGAUACUGACACUGAGGUGCGAAAGCGUGGGGAGCAAACAGGAUUAGAUACCCCCGUAGUCCCUGAGCGGGCUGGCAAGGCGCAU
rnacentral:rRNA from 1 species